rnacentral:rRNA from 1 species
GACGUAGGAUGCAAGCGUUGUCCGGAUUUAUUGGGCGUAAAGAGUUCGUAGGUGGUUUGUUAAGUCUGAUGUUAAAGACUGGGGCUCAACCUCGGAAAUGCAUUGGAUACUGGCAGACUUGAGUGCAGUAGAGGCAAGCGGAAUUCCAGGUGUAGCGGUGAAAUGCGUAGAGAUCGGGAGGAACAUCCAUGGCGAAGGCAGCUACCUGGACCAACACUGACACUGAGGCACGAAAGCGUGGGGAGCAAACAGG